UACGUAGGGCGCAAGCGUUAUCCGGAAUCAUUGGGCGUAAAGGGCUCGUAGGCGGUCCAUCGCGUCGGGAGUGAAACGCUGGGGCUUAACCCCAGUCCUGCUUUCGAUACGGGUGGACUAGAGGUAGGCAGGGGAGAAUGGAAUUCCUGGUGUAGCGGUGAAAUGCGCAGAUAUCAGGAGGAACACCGGUGGCGAAGGCGGUUCUCUGGGCCUAAUCUGACGCUGAGGAGCGAAAGCGUGGGGAGCAAACAGG
rnacentral:rRNA from 1 species